rnacentral:rRNA from 1 species
CGUAGGUGGUAGUGUAAGUCUGGGGUGGAAUCCCAGGGCUUAACCCUGGAACUGCCUUGGAAACUGUAUUACUUGAGUCAGUGAGGGGAGGGUAGAAUUCCUGGUGUAGCGGUGAAAUGCGUAGAUAUCAGGAGGAAGGCCUGUGGCGAAGGCGGCCCUCUGGCGCUGGACUGACACUGAGGCGCGAAAGCGUGGGGAGCAAACAGGAUUAGAUACCCUGGUAGUCCACGCCCUAAACGGUGGGCACUAGGUGUAGGGCUCGUAAGGGUUCUGUGCCGAAGGGAAACCAUUAAGUGCCCCGCCUGGGGAGUACGGCCGCAAGGUUGAA